UUCCGGUUGAUCCCGCCGGACCUGACUGCUAUCGGAUUGGUACUAAGCCAUGCGAGUCGUUGUAGCAAUACAAGGCGGACGGCUCAGUAACACGUAGUCAACCUAACCUAUGGACGUGGAUAACCUCGGGAAACUGAGAAUAAACCGCGAUAGAUCAUUAUGCCUGGAAUGGCUUAUGGUCCAAACAAUUUAUUGCCGUAGGAUGGGACUGCGGCCUAUCAGCUUGUUGGUGAGGUAAUGGCCCACCAAGGCUAUAACAGGUACGGGCUCUGAGAGGAGAAGCCCGGAGAUGGGUACUGAGACACGGACCCAGGCCCUAUGGGGCGCAGCAGGCGAGAAACCUUAGCAAUGUGCGAAAGCACGACUAGGUUAAUCCGAGUGAUUUCUGUUGAAGAAAUCUUUUGUCAGUCGUAAAACCACAGACGAAUAAGGGGUGGGCAAGUCUGGUGUCAGCCGCCGCGGUAAUACCAGCACCUCGAGUGGUCAGGAGGUUUAUUGGGCCUAAAGCAUCCGUAGCCGGCUUUGCAAGUCUCCGGUUAAAUCCAGCUGCUCAACAGAUGGGCUGCCGGAGAUACUACAAAGCUAGGGAGCGGGAGAGGUAGACGGUAUUCGGUGGGUAGGGGUAAAAUCCACUGAUCCAUCGAGGACCACCAGUGGCGAAGGCGGUCUACCAGAACGCGUUCGACGGUGAGGGAUGAAAGCUGGGGGAGCAAACCGGAUUAGAUACCCGGGUAGUCCCAGCUGUAAACGAUGCAAACUCGGUGAUGCAUUGGCUUAUGGCCAAUGCAGUGCCGCAGGGAAGCCGUUAAGUUUGCCGCCUGGGAAGUACGGACGCAAGUCUGAAACUUAAAGGAAUUGGCGGGGGAGCACCACAAGGGGUGAAGCCUGCGGUUCAAUUGGAUUCAACGCCGGG
rnacentral:rRNA from 1 species